GAUAAAGAAAAGAAAAGCUCCCUGACCUAUACAGCCAUGUGCUAUGGGGGUGAUGGCCAGUCCUGGUGUCUGAGUGAUU